UGAAGAUCAAAACCAGUAGAACGAGGAAUUUAAAGCACAAUAACUAUUGUUUCGGACAGUCUCUAGCUAUACCUUUAAAAACUAAGGCUUCUUAUAUAUUUGACUACUACAACUGUCAGUAAUUAAUACGCAAAAUCCUUAGCAUUUAUCCCAUAUAAAUGUUUAAGAGAAGGGAACAAAUCAUUGAGAUUAAAAUUAUGUCCUAA
rnacentral:misc_RNA from 1 species